UAACUCUUUAGGGAUUCCGCGUAUUACA
rnacentral:piRNA from 1 species